AUUGAACGCUGGCGGCAGGCCUAACACAUGCAAGUCGAACGAGUGGCGGACGGGUGAGUAAUGUCUGGGAACCUGCCUGAUGGAGGGGGAUAACUACUGGAAACGGUAGCUAAUACCGCAUACCAUCAGAUGUGCCCAGAUGGGAUUAGCUAGUGGGUGUGGUAAUGGCUCACCUAGGCGACGAUCCCUAGCUGGUCUGAGAGGAUGACCAGCGACAGUGGAACUGGGACACGGUCCAGACUCCUACGGGAGGAAGCAGUGGGGAAUAUUGCACAAUGGGCGCAAGCCUGAUACAGCCAUGCCGGGUGUAUGAAGAAGGCCUUCGGGUUGUAAAGUACUUUCAGCGGGGAGGCGUUACCCGCAGAAGAAGCACCGGCUAACUCCGUGCCAGCAGCCGCGGUAAUAC
rnacentral:rRNA from 1 species